rnacentral:rRNA from 1 species
GUAUGGCGAUGANCGGGAGCCCAAAUGAAAUCGGGCAACCGAGUUGUAAUUUGGAGACGGGACACUAGAGGCGAUUAAGUGCCUUGGAACAGGCUGCCGUAGAGGGUGAGAGCCCCGUGAAUCGCUGGAGACCGAUCAAUUAGUGCCCGCCGAAGAGUCGAGUUGUUUGGGAAUGCAGCUCUAAGUGGGUGGUAUAUUCCAUCUAAGGCUAAAUAUUAGCGAGAGACCGAUAGCAAACAAGUACAGUGAUGGAAAGAUGAAAAGAACUUUGGAAAGAGAGUGAAAUAGUACGUGAAAUUGUUGAAAGGGAAGGGUAUUUGAUCCGACAUGGUGUUUAGCAGCGGCCCGUUCCUCGUGGAUGGGUGCACCUGGUUUACACUGGGCCAGCAUCGGUUCUGGGAGCCAUAUACGGGGUUCGUGAAUGUGGCCCUUCGAUUCUGUCGGAGGGUGUUAUAGCGCGGACAUCUUGUGGCUAGCCGGGACCGGGGCGGUGACUUGUCACCAAGGAUGCUGGCAGAACGAGCAAAUACCACCCGUCUUGAAACACGG